UCCUCAUCCGUCUUUCAUCUGCCUCCAUUGCAAACCCUAUUUUUUCUACAUUUAUUGUUUUGCAGAUCUGUCUCCGUCGUCUUCUCUGUCGCCGUUCUGAUCAUUGUAGAUCGGUAGAUCUGGUGUUGAUCUACGCGUUGAUGGCGGUUUCAUACGGAUUCGGCCUCCGUUGACGGGCGUCGGUUGCUUAUUUACAGGUAUGGAAUUUCGUUUGGCGUGGGAUGUUUAGGGAGGCAGUAACGCUUCGAGUCGUGCUUGGAGACUCCGUGUUUUCGGACGAUGAGGCGGUUGGUUGCUGCGAAUCAAGAUGAUUUCGUCCGAUCUGUUCGUCGGUACAACGUAGCAAAGCUGUGGACCACUAUUCGAUGGAAGCUAUAUCUUGUACAUAAUUAUGAAAGCAUCAGAAAAAGUAGAUGAGUGAUUGUGGAUGUAAAGAUAUCGGGAUUUAGCCUCUUUUUUUUAGGAGGAUGAAUUCUGGUAGCUCUUUGUCAUCCGGCCUUUGCCAUGACAGGUGCGCUUGCAUGGCAGGUCAUUCAUAAUAAAAAAAAGCAUGUUUUCGUUUUGAGGGAAGAUCGCACGGGGAUUGCCCGGGGUCUUCCCUCGCUGGUCUGUUUUCCUCUUGCUCUCUAUUUCUCUCCGUUCGUUUCUGCAACUUCAACCGACGGAACCCCUUCUUUGGUCAUAGCCUUUGACCUGAUCGAACUCGCGACAUGCAAAGGUACUCUACCGAUUUUUUAAUUUAAAUUUCCGAACAAUCGUGAAAUGGUAGUAAAAAAAAGAACGAAGGCUUUUUUUUUUUUUUUUUUUCAUUGUUAAAUAUUCUUGUUUAUAUUUAAAAACAGUAGCAUUUUCCGGUUGGCAUACGCUUGUUUCCAUCCAUCCCUCCUGUGUAAUAAAUUUUUUAUUUAUGUUUGUACCAAUAAUAAUUAAGCAUUUUGGGGAUUUGUCAAUGACAGUCUUUGCUAUGGGGGGGGGGGGGGGGGUUUCNGGUUUCAUCGAAUUCAAGUAAAAUAAUGUUAUUACAACGAUGUGCAUUCCCCAUUCGUAUUUCCAUUUUAGAGUUUCCACUCGUCUAACUAAUACACAAUGUUUCGACAUUGUUGUGAUAUAAUUGGGUUUGCUGUUCUCCCCUUCCAUUAGCUAUAUAGUUAUUUAAUAUUUUUUUUAUGUAAUAGUUGUCACAUUUGAGAUCUUUAGGGUAUACCCAACGUGGCUUUUUGUACGUUUUGCAUAUUUUGUUAGAACUAGUCCUUGUCUUCCUAGCUAUUUGAUUGUUAGUGAAGAAGAUGCGUCCAAACGGCACUUGAGUGCAUGCAAUUGAAGAAAUCUUUUGCGUUCAAUGGAGGCACAACAAUCAGCAGCAUGGCUCUAUCGUGAAUCCUGUCAUCAUCUCAUCGGCUGGUACUUCUUGGAUCUUACUUUCAUCCAUGGUCUCUCUAUUAAACUACUAUUUUGUAAGUUAUUUUGGAACUUGUUUAUUGUAUAUUUAUUUCUGCUGCGCAUGUCGUGAGUUUGUUUAAAUUC